ACUCUUUUAGUAUAACUAGUACAAUUGACUUCCAAUCAAUUAGGUUUGAUAAUAUUCAAAAAGGAGUA
rnacentral:tRNA from 1 species